GGGGGGGGGGCAAGCGUUGUUCGGAAUUACUGGGGCGUAAAGCGCGCGCAGGCGGCCCGGCAAGUCCUACGUGAAAUCCCACAGCUCAACUGUGGAACUGCGUGGGAUACUGCCAGGCUUGAGUCCGGGAGAGGAGAGUGGAAUUCCCAGUGUAGCGGUGAAAUGCGUAGAUAUUGGGAGGAACACCGGUGGCGAAGGCGGCUCUCUGGACCGGUACUGACGCUGAGGCGCGAAAGCUAGGGGAGCAAACGGGAUUAGAUACCCCGGUAGUCCUAGCUGUAAACUUUGAGCACUUGGUGUGGCGGGUAUCGACCCCUGCCGUGCCGAAGCUAACGCAUUAAGUGCUCCGCCUGGGGAGUACGGUCGCAAAGGCUG
rnacentral:rRNA from 1 species